rnacentral:sRNA from 1 species
GCUGGGCACAGUGGUGCAUGCCUGUAAUCCCAGAGACUCAGGAGGCUCAGGUAGGAGGAUCACAAGUUCAAGAUCAGCCUCAGAAACUUAGUAAGGUCCUAUACAACUUAGUGAGACCCUGUUU